CUACGGGUCGCAGCAGUGGGGAAUAUUGCACAAUGGAGGAAACUCUGAUGCAGCAACGCCGUGUGGAGGAUAACACUUUUCGGAGCGUAAACUCCUUUUAUAUAGGAAGAAGAUGACGGUACUAUAUGAAUAAGCGCCGGCUAACUCCGUGCCAGCAGCCGCGGUAAUACGGAGGGCGCAAGCGUUACUCGGAAUCACUGGGCGUAAAGAGCGUGUAGGCGGAUUAAAAAGUCAGAAGUGAAAUCCUAUAGCUUAACUAUAGAACUGCUUCUGAAACUCUUAAUCUAGAAUAUGGGAGAGGUAGAUGGAAUUUCUGGUGUAGGGGUAAAAUCCGUAGAGAUCAGAAGGAAUACCGAUUGCGAAGGCGAUCUACUAGAACAUUAUUGACGCUGAGACGCGAAAGCGUGGGGAGCAAACAGGAUUAGAUACCCUCGUAGUC
rnacentral:rRNA from 1 species